GUUUAACUGAUUUUUUAAGAAAAAAAUAAAAAUUUAAAUAAUAAAACGGAAGAAUAUUUUAAAAAAAUUUGAUCAGCGUAUAACAGAAUUGAUUUUAAAAUUGAUAAAAAAAAAAAUAAAAAAAAAUGGAAAGAGGAGAGAGAAAUGACAAAAAAAGGUGGAAGAAGAAAAGAAGAGUAGAAAGAGCAUAAAGUGAUGACAAUAUAAUUAUAAUAAAUAUUUUCUCACACGCCAACGCCAUGUUGUAUUUAUGCCUCACCCACGGUAAAGUUUUUGAAAAACAAGAGGCGAAGUAAAAAAUGGGGAUCGGGAUUCCUAACUAAGCUAACAAAGAAACCCAAAAUCAAGAUCUACUUCUGCUCAAAUCAUCCUUGCACGCCAUCCCAAUCCCAAAUCAAGCAUCCAGAUCUAGAAAGAACCUACUAUUUCAAUGAGCUGAGCUAAUAACGUUGAGUUUCCAUUGCCAUACGGAGACAACCAGAGAUGCUCUUCAUCUUCUUGCAAGAAUCGAGCUAAAGUGGAGCACCAUUCUUGCUGAUCUCCACUUGAAGUAAGCAAAUUAGAGAGAUUGUAGAAAUAAAGUUGUAAGAUGUUUUCCUUCAUUCCCCAACGAAACCCUAAUUUCUAUCUUCUGGGAGCACCUCGAAGUUCUCACCAGGUAGUUGAAGAAGUCGUACGAGUUGCUCGAGGUGACGAGUUUAGUAUUUCAACACGAGUACGAUACCGUAGGUGACAUUGGUGAGAAUUUCGUUAUCUAGAACACGAGUUAAAAGCUUCCAGUGAGCCUCGCACUUGUUCGCGUGGGCGAAGAGUCUAUUCAUAUGUUAUGAUCUUUUCUUUGAGCUCUUAGAGUUGCUCCAAAGUCAUUUGAUUUGUCCCAUGAGUAUUCUUUUAUUAUUAUAGACUAGUGACUAGUAUUAGACGUUUUUCCCAUAUUUUAGAGAUGUUUUAGUAUUAUUACGUUGAAAAUGGGUUGAUUGUGGAUGCUUGUUGUUAGUUUGGUUGAGAUUGGUUAUUUUUGUUAUUGAUUUUGAGACAGGGAAAUUUUGGAUAGUCAUAAAAACAGGGGAAAUUUUGCUCGAUUUAUGUGAAUUCCCGUUAAGGCUUGCUUUGGGAAUCCUACCCCUUAGCGCGGUCAUGGUCCUAAAUUGUGUCGUGACAAAGUUGGUAUCAGAGCCUAGGUUAGGUUAUUCCAGACUGAUGAAGCACACAUUAGUAGUAGAAUCUCAAUUAUGGUUAUGCUGCCGGCCAUUCCCAUAAUCGUGAUUCUACGAGGGCGUGAUAGGAUGUGUCUUGUCUUUCUUUCUUGUUCCUGCAUUCGUUUGUGACGAUUAGGAUCUAAUAGUUGUAUCUAACUUUAGUUAUUUGUUACCUCAUGGUUUAAACUCGAUAAUGUGAUACCAGGAAUAGACUAGAGGUUCAAGGGGCAUUUAAGCUUUUGGCAAGUAAUCUUCUCUUCAGACUAAGGGCAACUGACAGGUCAUGGAAAGGAUCCGUUCCACUACGAGCCCCAGCAAGACACAUAAUAUAUCUCCACUCAUGCAAGUAGUACUAGUCCACCACUGAAGCAAUAAGAGUGUUAUCGCUGAGACUUUAUCUCUGUGCAAAGAGCCAUAGAGAGCUUGAUGGACAAAUUACAACACAGUAGUGCCCAGGACUAGCUUCAGGCACCUAUAUGAAUUUAGAUUGUUGAGAACAAAGGUGUGUCCGUGAGAAUUAGUAAAGUUGAAAACGCUAAAAUUCAUAUCUUAUUAUUUCAGAGGAUCGUUAAAUGUUCUUGUGUGAAAAUUCUUAAAGCAGCAUGAGCUUUGAGACAUUCUACUAUGAGCUUCAUGGAGCUAUAAAUUUACAGAUAGAUGACAUGGCACAAUACAUGGUAAGAUACCAUAUUAUUAAGAAUGUUGACUUGAGUAACACCAUGCCUUGAGGCGAUUCACCAAGCUAUUUAUGGAUUGUUUCUUUCUUAACAGUUGAAAGAGUGUAACUGGAUAGGGAGUUUAAGAAAUAGUUAGAUGAUGGAUUGUACCGAUAUUUGACCCCAAAUUUUCUCAAUAGGCUAGAUAUGCUCCCUACUUAUUUUUCUAACAAAGCAUUUCAGGUUUAGAAGUUGUUGAAGGGUGGGUUAGCCCCUUAAACUACGCAGUAACCUUGUACACGAAGACUUUACCUACAUUGAGGUAGCUGAUAUUGCUCAAGACAUUGAGAUAUGUAAAGUUAUGAGAAAAUAACCUAGGAUUCAUGCAAAGUCGACACUAGGAAAAAUCUUUCUAUGGGAAUUUCAACACGGGUCAAAGAGCUAGAAAUCAAGGACAACAUGGGAGAUUGAUGAUUUUCUCGGGUUACCGCUCCGAUUGGAGAAUUUCUAUUAGUUGAAAUGUGUAUCAACUUAUGAGAUUUGAGCUGAGAAUAGAGACACCCUAGUGGAGAGGAUUAUACUUAAUAUGAUCUGCUUUGACAUGCUAAUGGGUAGGAAUUAAUUUUCUUUUUGCCAUGCUACUCUUGAUUAUUAUGCAACGAUAAUAAAGUUUUGGAUACUCAAUGAAGCUAGUUUGACCAAAACGAAAAAAAAAAUCAGGUUCAACAGAUAGGCAAAGUCAUAUCAUUUGUGUUGGUUCAAGUGUUAUGAAACAUUGUUUGGAUCUCUCAGUAGUGGUAAAAGAGUUGGAGGGAUUAGACUCCUAGUUUAGGAAUGGUGCCGAUAGUGGUAGAAUUUCUUGAGGAUUUAAUCAAGAAUGUUUCUAGAUACGAGAAAUAGAAUUUGGUAUGGACUUGGUACCUAACACGAAACGCAUUACCUUAUGGCGCCAAAAAGUUGGAAGUAACUAAAAGAACAGUGCAUGAUCUACUGAAAAAGAGCUUUAUUUUACCGAGCAUAUCGCUACAUUGUACUUUCUGAAAAUGGAAAAGCUGGUCCCUGGGAAUGUGCAUUUACUACCGACAAUGGAACUAGCUAAGGAAACACAAUAAAUAGUCAUUUCCCCGUAUAGACGAUAUUUUGAUUAAUUAUAGGGAGCCGCCCACUUUUCAAAUAUUGAUUUUCAAUUGGUCAUCAUAAGCAUAGAUUUAGAGGAAGAUAUGUGUAAGUUACCAUCCGAACUCGAUACCUUCAUUAUAAGUUCCAUCUGAUAUCUUUCGCACUGACCGAUUCUCUAAUUGCCUUCAUGGGCGUAAUGAAUAGGGUGUUCAAUAUGUUUCUUGCCAAAUUUGUGUCAGAGUUUAAUGACUAAUGAUUAUAUUUUGGUAUAUUCGCGUACCCAGGAGUAACACAAGGAUCACCUUAGAGUUGUGUUUUAGAGACUGCAAAAACAUUAGCUUUAAGCCAAGUACUUCAAGUGUAAUUUUUUUUUUUUUUUGGGUUCAGUGACACUUUCUGGGCAUAUCGUAUCUAAGGAUGAAGUUAUUAUGGGUCCUAAGAAGAUAGAAGAACGUUUAAAAAUUACCAAUGCCCACUGCCCUUACAAAGAUUUAUAGCGUUUUGGGCUAUGCAGGUAAAUUUCAUUAAAAUAGUAACGCUAUGGACCAGUUACCACAGAAAAAUGUGAAGUUUCAGUUGACAGAUGAAUGUGAGCAAAGUGUUUAGAAAUUCAAAACAUGUUUGAGCACUGCACAAUGUUAGCCUUACCAUCCGGUUCUGGAGGAUUGGCGAUGUUUUGUGAUGUUUCGAGUUUGGGACUAUGAUAUUUUUUUCCUAAUAGUCAUAUGAUUGCUUAUGCUUCGGGACAGUUAAAGAAGCACAAGCAGAAGUAUCUCACUCAUCAUUAGAAAAUGAUCGCAAUGAAAUUUACGCGGAAGAUUGGAGACAUCAAUUAUACGACCAAAACCUAUUAUAAUAACACCAACCACAAGAAUUUCAAGUAUAUUUUACCAGCAAAGAGAUUUUGGAGCUUUGGCAAUGCCGACGGAUGUAAUCACUCAACGACGGACAUGAGGUCCUAGCUGGUAAAAGAAAAGAUAAAAAUGUUGGGUGAUACUGUUCUUUGACCCGGUAACCAAUCAUGUGAGCUGGAAAUAGAUGGCCGGAGGUAAGCUAUUUUUGAGGAAUCCCAUGACUCUUGAUAAACUAUACAUCCUGAAUCCACUAAGAUGUACCAUGACCUGAAGCAAUUGUAUUUGCGGGGGUGAAGAAAUAUGUUGCAAAGGCUGAGUUGAUAAAAUAUUUUGUUUCUAAUUGUUAAACUUCUUAGCGGGUCAAAGGCUGAGUUUCGACGACCAGCUUGUCUGCUACAACAAAUCAAUAUCCCGGAGCAAAAAAAAAAAAAAAGUAAAGAGUCACUAUGCACUUUUAUGACUGUACUACUUCGAAUCGUUAGAUACAUGGAAC